rnacentral:ncRNA from 1 species
AAAACUUACCAGGUCCGAACAAAAAUGUGUUAGACACUUUGAUAGCUAUUUCUCGAAUCUAUGGUUGGUGGUGAUACAUGGCCGUUCUAAGUUCGUGAAGUGAUUUGUCUGGUUAAUUCAGAUAACGAAGGAGACUCAAAUGGGUUUGUGGUUGUUAUGUUUAAAUUGUUCUUAAGUGCUAUACUCCUUUCUGCAAAAAAGGUGGCUCUGAUCUGAUAUUCACAACUUCUGGAUAGUGAUCUAAUUUUUUUAAGUUUAUAAGAGUGUGUUAUGCAUCAAAUUGACUUUG